rnacentral:ribozyme from 1 species
CACACAGGGACAUUGAUUCAAAUGAAAUGAAAAAAAAAAAGAACAAAUGCAAACCGCAGUCAAUGUUCCUUUCUCUUUUCUUUUUCUUCUUGGAGGUUUUGACAGAGUGAGAGCUUUGCUUGUUCCCCCCAAAAACAUUCUGAUCUUACAACAGGAAAACCCAAUUUAGUAGCACAUUUCUAGUGUAUAAAACAAUGUAAUAAAGGUCCAAGGGCUGUGACUUUUAUAUAU